GCCGGCAUAGCUCAGCUGGUAGAGCAACCGCCUUGUAAGCGGUAGGUCGCCUGUUCGACUCAGGCUGCCGGCA
rnacentral:tRNA from 1 species